AUAGAGUGAACAAUUGAAUUAUAAAAAGUUAUUAGUUAUUCGUCAAUUAAUUCACCAAUUUAUAUACUUUGUUAAAGCUAGUUAAUUUAGCUACAAUGAAUACCUUUGUUUUAACCGUCUUCCUCCUAGCUACUGUUGGUACCCUUAAUGGUUACACAAUUCCCGGUCUCGGACAGUCAUCUUUCUCAACUGGAUCCUCUGUUAAUGGCGUUAAAAGUCAAUCUUUGGCUAAAUACGAAUCAAGUUCAUCCUCAACUGGACCCAAUGGUGUUCUAAUCAAGACCUCUGAAAGUCGAACUUCAGUCAAUGGUGGAGCUCCUUUAGUCAGCAUUAGUCGAGCCACAUCAGCUGAUUCGUCAAACGCUGGUUUACUCGAUGUCUCUGUCCUUUCCAACGGACAAUCUGGCUCUUCCUCCCAAUCAUCACAAUCUUCUUCUGUCCAGGGUUCAUCAACAACUCCAGACCUUUCAUCAAUCAUUACCGUAGCUCCUAUCACUACAAGCCCACCUAUAACUAUUGGAGGUUCAACCACCUCUGGUUCAUCCCAAUCUCAAACCGCAACCACAUCAAACUCUGGCUCUUCUGACUCCACUGGUUCCUCAACUACUGUUGGUAGCAGCGACAAUGACGAUGACGAUGAUGACUUCUCAGUUGGAUCUUUUGCUCCACGAAGACCACACCGACAUGCUCCUUGCGAUGCACUCGCUUCCCUUACUGGCUGUAAUGACAAGGUUGUUGUCGUUGUUCUUGGUGGUAAUGGACCUGAAAGUCGAUGGGGACGAAUUGCUCGAGGCUCAUUCAGACGAUCACGAUUUGAUAAUGAUGAAGAAGAUGACGAAGAUAAUGAAGAAAGACGAUACCGAUUUGGUCGAAGAGGCUUACGACGAAGCAGCUUUGACUCACGAUCAUCCAACUCAGACUCUUCAGCUACUCGAUCUUCAUCUUCAUCAGAGAAUUCAAACAACUCUGUAGACAACCGACGAUCAUCCUUUGACCGAAGCGAAUUCCUUGCCCGAAAUGAAGCUUUCAGACGAUACCAAGCUGCUCGAGCUGCUCGACGAUCAUCAAGCGAAUCUUCACAAUCUUCUUCUAACUCAUCCAACAACCGAUCAGAAAAUAAUCGCCGAGUAACCCGAAGCCACAGUUCAAAUGAAGAUGUCUCAUCUAACGAAUCAAAGAACCGACGAUCAAGCAACUACGAAAAUGAAAUCAAUGAAAUCAACCGAAUUAACCGAAUUAAUCGAAUUAACCGAAUCAACAAUAUUAACUCAGUUAAUGUUCAAAAUGAUGUUCGAUCAGUAGACAACAAAUCUGUUGACAACCGAUCAUCAAACACAAAAAGCUCAACCAAUGUAUCAAACAGUAACAAAGUUUCGGACGUUCGAUCAUCAGUAAACAAUCAAGCUUCCUCAACAACCGUUUCCAACUCCAACAAGUCAGACGUUAAGUCAUCAUCUAACGUUUCACAGAACUCAAACGUUAAGUCAUCAGUCGAUAAACA
rnacentral:lncRNA from 1 species